rnacentral:rRNA from 1 species
GUAAGGAAUAUUGGACAAUGGGGGCAACCCUGAUCCAGCCAUGCCGCGUGAAGGAUGAAGGCGCUAUGCGUUGUAAACUUCUUUUAUACGGGAAAAAUUCCCUGGUUUCUACCGGGGUUGAUUGUACUGUAAGAAUAAGGGUCGGCUAACUUCGUGCCAGCAGCCGCGGUAAUACGAAGGACCCGAGCGUUAUCCGGAUUUAUUGGGUUUAAAGGGUGCGUAGGCGUCCCUAUAAGUUACGGUUGAAAUCUCCUUGCUUAACAAGGAAACUGGCCGUAAAACUGUAGGGAUUGAGUACACUUGAAGCGGGCGGAAUGUGUCAUGUAGCGGUGAAAUGCUUAGAUAUGACACAGAACACCGAUUGCGAAGGCAGCUCGCUAAAUUGUAACUGACGCUGAGGCACGAAAGCGUGGGGAUCAAACAGGAUUAGAUACCCGUGUAGUCC